UUGGCUCAUCAAUCAAGGGACUGGAGCAGCUGCAACUGAGGUGUGGAUUCCACUAUCUCUUUGGAGGCCAAAAGAGUACGAGCAAGGAUGUCCAAAGAAUCUGGGCUCUAAGCAGCUUCUUGUUCCUGAGUUAAUCCAGUCUGCGUCCAUGUGUAACAGACCGUCAGUCCUAGUUGGUUUACCUGUCUCAAAAACCUGCUCCUGGAUUGUGACGUGCGGGGAUGAGUGUGUCGGCACUCUGUCAAAUCAACAGAUUUCCAGGGAGCAGGAGCCAAAUGUUAAGAUGCCCGCUGCCAAAGAGGAAACUGCUGAAAAAAAUAAAAGCCUCAUACAACUGAAACAGGGACCCAUGUCUGGUGAGUCUUGUUCUGUGGAGGCGGUUCUUCUAUGAUGUGCCACGUGAGAAGACAGAUGGUUUGAAAGAGGAGCAAAGGAGGCCAUGCAUGUCUGCUGUGAAUAAUCGUUGAAUAGAGGUGUCUGCUUACAUCUCCAGCUAUCAGCCAACUACAAUGCAGUCUUAAAAUUCCAUCCCAGAUACCUGACCACCCAGCGUGAUGUUUUUUCAGAAGCCAUGCAUCUGACCUCCGUGCAGAAGAAGAGACUUGUUCAAUUAUAUUUGGCCACAGCGCCUUCUGUCAAUAACAGGGUAAACCAUGGUAACCGUGAACUGACUGCACUAUGUUCCUCAGACACGACUUGAACUUGAACUGAAAGGUUUUUUCCCCAGAAAAAUAA